UCGCUGAACUUUUUCUUUUAAGAACGGGCGGAUGUCAGUGACAAGUUAAUAGCUCUCGCUGCGCUCCAAGGUUAAACAGAACCUCAUUUGUGCCCGGAGUCUCCUUCUACCGACCAGCCGGAGGCCGCCUGGGCAGGCUCUAAUCCUCGGAUUGGAACUAGUACUUCUGCCUGGAAGAUUUCGCUGGCUUUGCUAGUCCUCUCAGCCGUCCCGAAAAGCCAAUCCGUUCUGAGCUACACUGAUGGCGGGGCUGGAGGAGGAGGGCUACUUUCAACUUCUGGCACCACCUGGGUGGUCGCCAUAAAAAGAAUACUUUCCACAAUAUCCCCAAUAGAUCAUCACUUCUAACCGCAGAGAAUUUGCUAGCCCAGAGGACAACCCAUUCCUUAUUUAAAUGGUUCUGGAUUUUGAAAGUCUUUUCUCAUAUUAAACCCCAAAUCCGUUU